rnacentral:rRNA from 1 species
CAGGUACAGAGGGAUGCUACCGGGCGACCGGAUGCGGAUCUCGAAAGCCUGUCCCAGUUCGGACUGGAGUCUGCAACCCGACUCCACGAAGUUGGAUUCGCUAGUAAUCGCGCAUCAGCCAUGGCGCGGUGAAUACGCUCCCGGGCCUUGUACACACCGCCCGUCAAGCCAUGGGAGCCGGGGGCGCCUGAAGUCCGGGACCGCGAGGACCGGCCUAGGGCGAAACUGGUAACUGGGGCUAAGUCGUAACAAGGUAUC